UGAAAGCCCUGGACGCUCUCGCACCCAUCUAGUGGCAUGGAGUUCCACAAGCAAAGGUUGUCUCGCUGCUUCUGUGCCAGCCUGUUGCAGUCAAAGAGCAUUUCUCCCCUCCCGCUUCCGCCGCCUCCUAAGGUUGCCCCGGUUUCCUAAACAGAACCUGCUUUUCUGUUGUGCAUGCACAGAGCGUUACCGCAAGUAAUAAAACCGGAGAAAAGCGGUGCUAGAAAGAAUUGGAAUAAGCUGGUGGGCAUUUAAAUGCCAUGGAGGAGAGAUGGCAUUGCAUGGGCAGAGAAACGAUCUGGGGGGAGGACUGUCCAAAAGAAACGAAGCCCAAAUGUGCUCUCUCCCCCAGAGCAGCCCCUGCCCAAGGCAAGGUAUUGACGUGACUUCUGAAACCCUGAACGACCUGGCUUUGCAAGAAAACCUCACCUGGGUCCUUUCGUGAACCAGAACUCGGAACGUUUCUGGNAGCCACCAGCCAGGCUGGGAACGGAUGGUGAUUUCUGGGCACCACACGGAUAAACGACAGGUUUCUUCACUGGCUGCAGCUGGGGGUGGAUAGAGGAGGUUCAGCUGUGCCCUCCCCUUAGCUGACCUCUGUGCUGUGGAUAUGCCUGGAGGGAGCGACGGGGCCUCUGAGGAGCAGAGCUGCUUUCCCUGCCCUUUGGGAGCAACAGCCCCUGUUCGCGGGCUCAAGCAGCCUUCCCGAACGCACAAGGCUUUGAGCCUGUCCAGGUUGCGUUCUGACCAACAAGAAGACCAUGCAGGCACGUAUGUGCUGGUGGCUGAUGGAGUAACUUGGCUGACUGGAUCCCAUUGCAUGUUGCUUUGAUUGUGGUAUUCGGUUGUUUUUGUUUCCUGAUGAACCGCCUCGAAAUUUUAAAAUGAUAGUUUCGUUAUCUUGCGAUCACAUGAUAUAAUGAUGGUAUUGAGGUAGGGCCUUCUGCGUGACAGCCCCGAGUAUGUACCAAAACGUUUUGAAUUAUUUUGUUCCAAAUUUAUCAUUUUCUCACUGUUAUAUUUGCAAACUACCCUCCACUGUAAACUCAGGAGUCAUGUGACAAGGCAGAACAAUAAAAAUAAAGAUCUUCUGGUCACACCAGCAGCAUUCUCAGAUUACAAAACCCUUAGGCUGGUCAGCAAGCCCAGAAACCAGCUCUCCAAAGCCCCAGGCCCUCUUUCCAGGCCCAGGAAUCCUGGUCACCCGUGCAAAGGGAGCUGUAAUUCCGGUGGGAGCCCAGGUGUGGUCUGUUCUGCUCUGCUCUCUCUAGCCUCCCUGCCGCAAAGGAACCAGCCCAGCCAUCUCCCCUCCUCCAAGCGUGUAGCGUUCCGCUUCUUUACAACUUCCUCUUCUUUCCCCUUCUUCUUCUUGGCCUUUGUGAAUCCAUUCUGCUGUUGCUGCGUUGCCCCUGGGACAGACUCCUCACCUGCUUUUCAGCCGCCUGCACUUGCUAGGGACAGAUGCUGUGAAAAACAUCUGCAGCGGCUGAUCUGCCUGCCCUCAGAUUUAUCCACUUAUCACAGGCAUGAUUUGAUAUGGCGAGGCGAAGGCUGAGCAGGUGUGGAGGAAAAGGACGGCCCUUUUUCCAACAAAACAACUCUGUUCUCUGCGCUCUUGGUGCCUCUUAGCAGAGAAUGGGAGCUGGAAUGUCCUUUCUUCAAACGAUGCUCCGGAAGCAGAGGAGAUCCUGAACCCCAGGGCAUUCCGUCACAGAAGCAAGUGGAGUUGACGGCAAAGAGAUGCCUUGGAAAAGUGCCCCCCAUCCAAGCUGGGACCAGGGCUCGUGAGGUGUCUUCCAGACCGCUCCUUCCUUCUACGCCAACUCAAGAAGACUCACCCCCACNCCGUUUUUCACCCUCAGAUUUGACCACGGUCUAGGACUGUGGGUCUCUAGCACAGGGCCCCUCACCCCCAAAGGCAACUUUGCCAACAGCUGGCCAUGGGAGGCAAAUGGUGGCCAACGUUAGGACCUGCUUGCUGCCCACCCAGUGCGUUCCUCACUUGAGGCAGACAGACCCCCCCCCGCUUCCCUCCUCUGAGCNGAGAAGAGGCUCUUAAGCCAAAAUAUGCGUCCUUUGCCUGCCUGUGCCGGAUCCAGCCGUCCUCAGGUUUCCUAACCAUCAAGUCUCCCAAGAUGAAUCAAAACGUAAGAACAGAAGGAGGCGGCAGGGGGUGGAUGGCGUCUGUGGACACAAGGGAGCUCCUCUGCCUGCCGUCUUCUGCAGAACUGCGGCUCUGCUCUCCUUCUCAUAGGGCCCACGUCCNUUGGCCAUUUUCCCAGUUGGACACCCAUGAUUCAAGACAAAAACGAGACAAGACAGAACAGCACAUAGUUUUUCUCGGUUUGGUGGAGUCCUGAUGCUCCCCUAAAUCUCGGGCUCAGCUGGCCCAGCAUCUCCUGUCCUCUCUUCACAUUGGCACCCCUGUGUCUUCCUGCAGUUCAAAGGAGAACGUGGCACCAAGUCCAGGAAGGCGCCAGAGUGGACAGGGGGGUCUUCCUUUGCCAGCUNUUGGGAUGCAAAGGGGCGGGGGGACGUUACCAAGGCGGGUUCUG
ensembl:lncRNA